CAAGAUGUAGCUUAAUCAAUCAAAGCACCCGGCUUACACCCGGAAGACUUCANUGUCACCUGAACAUCUUGA
rnacentral:tRNA from 1 species